rnacentral:misc_RNA from 1 species
AUCUCAAACAGCUGUUAGUUGAUAUUCAGCAUGACAGACUGUAGAAUGUAAACACAAAAUUUUGUUCCAGCCCACAAAAUUUAAUAGUUUCUUGAAAUAAGUAUUUUUAGAAUUUAUCUGUCUUCAAAAAAGAGAAAAUGAACAUUUAAUAUCCGAUUUGAUUAAUUUAAUUUUACUGCAACAUGUCAGAUAAGUUGACUACAGUUCUUGCUCACACAGUACUGGCGUUUUCGUCUGGUUACAGUCUAUCAAAUACAGAGUUUGGUUUUUCAACCAUUGGAUUAAGCUUGUAUUUUGCUACUGGUGUGAUGGGUGCUGUUAUUUACGGAGCUCGAGACAUUGGAGGGUCUAUUUAUAAACUCUUGAGUAACUUGUGGGUGCUUAGCAUAGCGUUUGGACUACCAUCGAUAUCUUCUCACCUUUAUGUCAUCAAUAAUUUCCCAGAAGCAGUGAUUGGACUUCAUUUUCUCCUACCAGCUGCUUUUUCCAUUAAUCUUUAUUUUUUCUCCAAAAGAACUAAUUUCAAAUUACUAGAAUCAAUUAAUUUGCCGUACUUAUUAUCGAUAGCUUAUUCAUGUUCUCAAACAAUGAAUUAUCAUGGGUUUGCAUUGGUUAUAAGUUAUGUUAUUGCUUUAUAUGCGAUUGGAACUACUGGUACUGUUAGGAAUAUGCCUUCAAGGGAUCUACUUAGUAUUUCUCUUGUAUUUUCCAAUUACUAUACUGUCAAAACUAUCAACUUUCGUAGUUAAAUGUUCUAAAAUUAAUGAACAGAAUGCUACCUGACUGAACAACAUUUUAAAAAUGUGUAGAUAGGUACCUAGUGGAAUCUAUUUUUGAUUACUUUUAUGUGGAAUAAUCUUCCAUGAUUGAAUGCUGUUUUCAGUGUGUUCAAUGUUAUUAUUAUUAUUGUAGCUGAAUUUUCAGAAGUAACUUAAUCUAUUUUAAAUACAAUUCAAGUAAUAUUUUUAGUCAUUACUGUAUGCCUACUACAAAGGCAGGAUAGGUUUAGAAAAGCCGUAUCUAUUACUAGUCAAAAAAUAUUAUUUGUCAUGCUUGAUGAGUAUUUAUGGUUCUGUAGAGCAUAAAUCAUAGAAUAAUUAUUGUAUUUUUUCCAUUGCUAUGCUGUUUCAUGAUCUCGUUGAACAUAACUCCAUUCAACUGUAGGCUUCAGCUACACCAUGCUUUGCUAUGGAGGUAGCACAAUGGAUCCAAAACACUAACUUAUAUAUUUGUAGCAAAAUGUGUUGUCCCUGUGCUCAAGUUAGUUGAUCAGUAACUGUCCAAUUCAUAUUUUAAAUGAUUUGAAUAUUGUAUGAAUCCACUACUAAUUAAUUCACCAAUUAGUAUAUUGCAUUUAUUUAGUAAAAUUGAAACAACAUUUUUUACUUGAUUCACAAAUGUUGCACUGUAAUCUGUUAGUUCAUGGCAUUUCAGUUCUAAGAGCAGCCAUUUAAUUGGUUGUAAGAUUGACCAAUUUCUUUCUAUCUUCGAUCAAAAAUUACUGAAUUAAUUUAGUAAAUGAGUAAAAUUCACUGCAUUAUUCAAGUAUCGAUCCUGGACCCUGCUAGGACCAAUUUAUUUUAGGCCUUUAGACUUUAUUGUUGUCAGUCUUAAAAAUAACAAUCACAAUGAAAUACUUGAAAUACUUGGACCCUGCUAGGACCAAUAUUUAUUUUAGGUCUUUAGACUUUAUUCUUGUCAGUCUUAAAAAUAACAAUCACAAUGAAAUGCUUCUCUUCAAUCGUUUUGAUCAAUAUUAAAAGUAGAUAUUCAACUCACUUACGGCAAUUUCUGCUUCUCAUAGAUGCUUUUUAAUAGAUGUUUCUUGAAACUUUAAAUUGUAGUCCUAGACUUCGAGCUAGACCUUGAAAUCAUGUGUUGAGGACGAUUUGUGAUGAGUAUUUUCUAUCUAAUAUUCUGCCUAUCUAAUUUCUAAUAUUCGUAAUUCUUGCUUAUUAUGUUUCUAACUUAUAACAACAAAUUAUUGCUUGUGCAUGAGUGACUGCACUUUUAAAUUUUUGUGACCCACACUAAAAUAAUUUGUUCUUCGCACAUUGAGUGGAUUAACAAUUUGUACAAUUGUUCUGGGCUAGAUAGCUAAGUUCAACCCCAUAUUCCAAUUUUAUAAUAUUACACUGACUCAAGAAUCCACCUUUAGAGGUGGUAUAUUGGCAAUUUAUUGCGAUAUCCUCCCAAUAAUAUUUAUACUUCAGCUUGAUGCCAAGGAAGUAUGUAAAAGCACUUCAGUUUAACGUUUGAAACAUCAUUCUUUAAUAUUUUUAGUGAUUAUUUGUGACUGGUCUACUAAUAUUUUUUCUUGACCUGAUGAAUUAGCGCUUAGUCCACACAUUAAUUAUUCUGUAUAAUGCCAUUCUUCUGCUACAUCUUUCAUGGUUUCGCUCACUGAAAAAGGUGUAAGUGCCGUGAGUGAGUUCUCCUUCUCCUUCUGAAGUUUCCAGACUAAGCUUUGUCACUUUGUAGACAAGUUAGAAUGGUCAUUUAAAUACAGUAAUAGAACUUUAGUUGGGAAAAUUAAAAUUUUCGGAAUAAGAUUCAAAUCACUGCUCAUGAUUACAUAUGAACGGAAUUCAUUUGUAGUCAUAGAUGAACCAUAUUCAUAUUAACCCAUAAUUUAUUCUCUCAACCCAUAAUUUAUUCGCUCAAUCAAUUGAGAGUUUAAUCUGAGGAGCUAUGUUACAGGUCUUGAAAUGCGCGAUAGACACCUUUUAAGAGUGUAUCAAGAUAUAUGGAGUGCUUCCUACAUGUGUGGCUUUCCUCUGAUCGCAUUAGCUUACAAUAUGAAGUAUGAUAUGUGGCCUAUGCCUGCUUUGAUGGCAGCUCCAUUAUUUUUUGAGGCAUAUUUGAUCCUGAGAGGAGAUAUGCUGGAUGCAAAACUGAUCCAUCUUCAUCAUUUAUUAGCUGGUGUGGUCAAUAUUAUUGUGAGUAUGCGUUACAACUUCGGUGGAUGUUUUCAUAAUGCUCUCUACCCUUUGGCAACUAUUAUUUACGGAGAAACACCUUACCCAACAACAGGCAAAAGAAGUUUGAAUUGGUUGGUUAUCACAAGCAUGGCAAAUUUUCUUUACACUGGUAUUUUUCAAUAAAUAUCGAAAUAAUGUUGUAAUCAAAAAAAGACUGGUUCAAUAAAAGUAUCUUAUGUAUCUGAAUUCUCUGUGAUUUGUAUUUAUAUUUUGGAUCUGUAAAAAUCACAAAUUAAAACUUUUGAGAGGUGAAAAG